UCUUUACUCCCUCCGUCGGAAAAUACUUGUCAUUGAAAUGGAUGUAUCUAGAUGUAUUUUAGUUCUAGACACAUCCAUUUUGAUGACAAGUAAUUCCGGACGGAGGGAGCGCUUG
rfam:Triticum aestivum genome assembly, contig: Triticum_aestivum_CS42_TGACv1_scaffold_352506_4DL